AAUUAUGGUGGGCUGGGCAAGGCUGCUUCGGCAGGCCGUACCUUGUGAGCGGUAGUCCUAACCUUGUUCAGUUCGCCACCCGA
rnacentral:antisense_RNA from 1 species